AACCAACCGGGAUUGCCUCAGUAACGGCGAGUGAAGCGGCAACAGCUCAAAUUUGAAAUCUGGCCCUCGGGUCCGAGUUGUACUUUGCAGAGGAUGCUUCUGGCGAGGCGCUGCCCAAGUCCCCUGGAACGGGGCGCCGGAGAGGGUGAGAGCCCCGUACGGUCGGCGGCCGAGCCUGUGCGAAGCUCCUUCGACGAGUCGAGUAGUUUGGGAAUGCUGCUCUAAGCGGGAGGUAGACCCCUUCUAAAGCUAAAUACCGGCCAGAGACCGAUAGCGCACAAGUAGAGUGAUCGAAAGAUGAAAAGCACUUUGAAAAGAGGGUUAAACAGCACGUGAAAUUGUUGAAAGGGAAGCGCUUGCGACCAGACGUGCGCCGGGGUGCUCCGCGGGCGUUCUCGCCCGCGCACUCGCCCCGGCGCAGGCCAGCGUCGGUUCGGAUGGGGGGACAAAGGCGCCUGGAACGUGGCUCCCCCGGGAGUGUUAUAGCCAGGCGCGCCAUGCCCCCGCCCGGACCGAGGUUCGCGUUCUGCAAGGACGCUGGCGUAAUGGUCCCCAGCGGCCCGUCUUGAAACACGGACCAAGGAGUCGAGGUUUUGCGCGAGUGUCUGGGUGACAAACCCGCACGCGCAAUGAAAGUGAACGCUGGUGGGAGCUUCGGCGCACCACCGACCGAUCCUGAAGUUUACGGAUGGAUUUGAGUACGAGCGCAGGGCCUCGGACCCGAAAGAUGGUGAACUAUGCUUGGAUAGGGUGAAGCCAGAGGAAACUCUGGUGGAGGCUCGCAGCGGUUCUGACGUGCAAAUCGAUCGUCAAAUCUGAGCAUGGGGGCGAAAGACUAAUCGAACCGUC
rnacentral:rRNA from 1 species